CCUUAUAUGGAGAAAGAUCCCUAUCCUUCCCUGGCCACUAACCAACUUCCUACUCCACAGCGACAAGUUAGUUGGACGUAGGAAUCAACGGUGGAGAGCAUUCUACUCUCAGAAGGUCACACUACCUGGUCUUUUCUCUCUUACAUCCUGAGAAAGAAGAGGAAAAGGAGAAGAACACAACAUCAGUGAGCUUGACAUCUCUAGGCUCCAACUCGAUCCUGUUUAUUACAAUGGAGCUAACAAGGGCUGAAGAACCAAAGUAUAACUAGGCUAGAGUAGAGUUUUGGCAACAUAUUUGAUAAAACAGAGCUUUGGGAAAGCUAAUAAUGCUCUGGAAGAUUUGUUUGUGGAGCAAGAAAGCAGCACACGUGGGAGACUGAUGCAGUUGACAUGGAUAUGCUUGAUCCCUUGCUCUACUGAUUGGCAAGCCUGCAAAAGCUGCUAAGUAGCAGAAAGGUUUCCUCCUUUUAACAGCUGUUCAAGUAGGUUUCAGCUUCCAAGAAAGUGUAUAUGAAGACCAAGUCAGUGUGCAUCACAUGGAGCUCAGCUUGUUGCCAUCCAGGUUUGCAGACAAUAACAACAAUGUAAUCUGGCUAGCUUGCUUUCAAUUCCUGUUCUUGGGAGAGUGCUGUUGGCCCUGUGGAUCAUGCAAUUUCUAUCUUGUGCCAAGAUGACAAGUACGUGCACUUCCAACACUGGCAUUCCCACAGGGCCAAUCUCAUAUGUGCCUUUUCUCGGCUAUCUCAGACUGCUGCUGCUCAUGCCAAGACAAUGCAGUCCCCAGACAGGGCUUCUGAGGAGUGAGCUUCUUACAGUUGACUUGCCUGACUAUCUGUAUCCAGAGAUACCGGCCACGUGACAGAUGCUCUGCCACCUGGCUGGUCGGAGGACACACCACAUGCCAAUCAACAUUUGGUCCCGCCCAACUAAUCAAUGCACACCUAAAUUAUUGGUCACCUUAAUUGGAUUAUUGCGCCCAGCCCCAUGCUAUAAAAGGUUAUACUUGCCCCUGGCUCGGUCUCUCUUACAGACCACCUCAUUGAAGGUGAUUGGAUCAACAAUGUGCAGUGCUUGAAGGGCAGAAAGUGGCAUGCAUAAAUGACCAUGGGUCAAUCCUGUGAGACAAAGUGUCACUUUGCAGGCAACAAUGGCGCCAACAUUUCUCUUUGCCAAGUGGAUAGCGACUGAUUGCAAACUCAGUGCUCCUGCAGCAAUAAGCUAUGACCCAUGCUAAUCGAUUAGCACACCAUUAGGAAUGGGUGACCCCUGGAAAACUAACAGUUAUCUAACUGAAAGAGAUUAAUCACUUAGAGGAACAAAAAGGUAAUAACAAAUGGUUGCUUUGUGGAGAAUACUCUACCUUAAGACAAUCUUCCUAGCACACAAGUUAGGGAUCCACUCUUGAAUGUACUACAGGGCAUACCAGGUCACUGCAGGAAAUGGAAUCUUGAAACUCGGAUUCCACUCCCCAUGAGACUCAUUUACUUAUAUGACCCCUGAUUUCUCAGAUCAAUAACAAAAGCUGGAAGAAGUGUGAAAGGACAUUUAUCUCCUUAAAGUGAACACUCUGUAGUGCACUGAUGAAGUAUGGUGAAUACUUCAGACAUCCUGAUAAUAAAAGAAUCAUGAAAGCUCCUGAAAAAGUUGGCAUUAACCAUGAGAAAAUUUGUGAUCCUACACCAGAAACACCCUUUCAGUUUGUGUAGCUUUGAGGAGACAGAAUGCCACAUACGUGCAGUUAAUCACUCCUUAAAGCUUGUAAAACCAAGAGUUCUCCUGAAUCCAAGAUGGAACUGCUGAAACACAGCCAUGUGUUGCAGGCAGCUUACAAAGUUUCUUAAUAUACUUCUGAACUACUUUCACUGCAAUCUGCAGCCUGUAAUUUCCCUUUAAGUAGCAUACUUUUGAACCGUCUCAAUGAGCUUGCGAUUUCAUAAUCUUCUGAAGGGUUCAGUGGACUCACACUCAAGCAUGCAGGUGCAGCUCUUUUAAGAUUAUGACUGUACAUUGCCACAGCCAGAUAAGAAGGAAGCAGGGAGGACUCCAAGCCAGACAAAAUUCUGGGGCAUGAAACUUCCUCUGUCUGGCAUCUGGUUAGCAAAUGUACAUUCGCUGAAGAACAAGAUUGAGGACCUAAAGCAAGGAUUGCUGUAUCAGAGGGAAAUGAGGAAUUGUGUUCUGUGUUUCAUGAAGACAUAGCUCACUCCAGACAUACUGGAUACAUUGAUAAGACCUGAGGGCUUCUUGAUACAUUGAAUGGACUCAUCUGCUGAUUCGGAAAGGCAAAAGGCGCGGGGUCUGUGUUUUGUGGUGCUCAGACACAGCCAUCGUCGCAUUCUUGUUCCCCCAACCUGCAACAUCUAAUGAUUAAGUGCCCACCAUUCUAUUUACAAGAAAGUUUUGCUUCAUGAUCCUGACUGCAGAUUACAUGCCACCAAAGGCCGAGGUUCAGCAGGGACUCAACAUACACUUAUGCCACCAUCAGCCAACAAUGAACAGCCGACUCCGAUGCUUUUCAAAUAAUUGUUGGAGACUUAAAUCAGGCUUGUUUGAAGAGAUCUCUGCCCAAUUAUUAACACCAUAUCACAGCACUAGGGGUCCCAACACACUUGAUCACUUCUAUACUACAACUAGGAAUGCCUACCAUUCCAUGCCUAGUCCACAUUUUGGGAAAUCUGAUCACUUGGCUGCCCUAUCUGCAUACAGGCAGAGGCUAAAGAGCAAAGCUCCAGAGGUAAGGAUAACAAAGAAGUAGUCAUGGGAGGCAGAGGAGUGACUAUAGGAUUGCUUCAAGUCAAUGGAAACAAGGUUGAAAUAUGAAGGUAAGCUAGCCAAUAAAAUAAAAGAGGAUACUGAAAGUCUAUUCAAAUAUAUACAGUAAAAGAGAGAUGAGAGUGGCUAUUGUUCUGCUGGCGAGAUAUUAAUGUGGGACAAAAAAUGGCAGACAAACUUAAUAAAUAUUUUGCAUCUGUCUUUACUGUGGAAGACACUAAGAGUGUACCAGAAAUUCAAUAGUGUUAGGGGGCAAAAAGAGUGCAGUUGCUAUUACUAAGGAGAAGGUGCUUGGGAAGCUGAAGGGUCUAAAGGUAGAUAAGUCACCUGGACAGAUGGACUACUCCCCAGGAUUUCAAAGCAAGCAACUGAAGUGAUUGUGCCGGCAUUAGUAAUGAUCUUUCAAGAAUCACUGGAUUCUGGCAUGGCUUCAGAGGACUGGGAAAUUGCAAAUAUCACUCUACCCUUUUCGAAGGGAGGGAGGCAUAAGAAAGGAAAUUAGAGGCUAGUUAGCCUGACUUCAGAGGUCAGAAAGAAGUCCAUUAUUAAAGAUAAUAAAGUAGGUCAACAUUAGCAUGGUUUCCAUAAGGGAAAAUUUUGCCUGAUAAAUCUGUUGCAAUUCUUUGAAGAAAUAAUAGGCAGGAUAGACAAAGGAAAGAGUGGAUGUUGUUUACCUGGAGUUUCAGAAAGCUUUUCACAAAGGACCACACAUUAGAUUGCUUAACAUGAUAGGAGCCCAUGCUAUUACAGGGAAGAUACUAGAAUAGAUAGAAGAUUGGCUGACUAACAGGAGAUAUAGAUUGGAAACAAAGGUUGACUUGUCUGGUUGGAUGCCCUGACUAGUAGUGUUUUGCAGGGAUUGGUAUUGGGACCGCUUCUUUCAACUUUAAAUGUCAAUGACUUGGAUUAUGAAAUUAAUGGCUUUGUGGCCAAGUUUGCGAAUGAUGGGUGGAGAGGCAGGUAGUAUUGAGGAAACAGGGAGUCUGCAGAAGGAGUUGGACAGAUUGGGAGAAUGGGCAAAUAAGUGGCAGAAUGAAAUACAAAGUAGGGUAGUGUAUGGUCAUGCACUUUGGUAGAAAGAAUAAAGACGUAGAAUAUUUUCUAACUGGGGAGAAAAUUUACAAAUCGGAGGUGCAAAGGUUCUUGGGAGUUCUUGUACAUGACACCCUAAAAGUUAACUUGCAGGUUGAGUUGGUGGUAAGGAAGGCAAAUGCAAUGUUAGCAUUCCUUUCAAGAGGUCUAGCAUACAAGAGCAGGGAUGUGAUGCUGAGGCUUUAUGAAGCACUGGUGAGGCCUCACCUUGAGUAUCCUGAACAGUUUUGGGCUUCUUAUCUAAGAAAAGAUGUGCUGACAUUGGAGAGAGUUCAGAGGAAGUUCACAAGGAUGAUUCCAGGAAUGAAAGGGUUAUCAUAUGAGGAAUGUUUGAUGGCUUUGGGCCUGUACUCACUGGAAUUUAGAAGGACUGGGUGGGAGGGGAUUGCACUUUGAGAGGACUAGAAUACAAAACCAAGGAUGUAAUGCUGAGGCUUCAUAAGGAAUUGGUCAGACCACAUUUGGAGUAUUUUUGCUAGUUUUUGCCUCUUACCUAUCAUGAAAAGUUACACUGGCAAUGGAGAGAGUUCAGAGGAUUCAGGGAAUGAAAGGGUUAGUAUAUGAGUGUUUGAUGUCUCUGGGCCUGUACUCACUGGACUUUACAAGAGUAAGGGAGGAAUCUCAUUGAAACUGAUAUAACAUUCAGGGGCCUAGAUAGAGUGGAUGUGGAAAGGAUAUUUCUUAUAGUGGUGAGUCAGGGAUCAGAGCACACAGGCUCAGAAUAGAGAGAUGUUCAUUUAGAACAGAGGUAAGGAGGAAUUUCUUCAGCAGGAGGAUAAUGAAUCUGUGGAAUUCAUUACUGCAGGUGGUUGUAGGCCAAAUUACUGAGUAUAUUUAAUGCAAAGAUUGAUAGGUCCUUGAUUAGUCAGACAUCAAAGGUUAUGGGGAGAAGGCAGGAGAAUGGAAUUGAGAAGCUAUUUUAUAUCUAGGGAUUGCUCCGUUACGGAGAGGAGAGACUGUCUUUUGAUCAUUGGUAAGAUCGCUCUGCUGCCGGAGAGAAGAGAUUGCCUUUUUAUCCCUGGUGAGAUCGCCCUGCUACAGAGAGAAGAGACUGAUUUUUGAUCGCUAGGGGAUCACUCUGCUGCUGGAUAGGGGAGAUUGCCUUUUGAUCACUGAGGAACCACUCUGCUACAGAGAGAGGAUACUGCCUUUUGAUCGCUAAGAGAUCGCUCUGCUGCUGGAGAGGGGAGACUGCCUUUGUAUUCCUGGUGAGAUCGCUCUGCUGCAGAGAGACGAGACUGCUUUUUGAUUGCUGGGAGAUCAAUCUGCUGCUGGAGAGGGGACAUUGCUUUUUGAUUGCUGAGGAAUCGCUCUGCUACCAAAGAGGGGACACUGCCUUUUGACUGCUGGUGGGAUCGCUCGCUGCUGGAGUGGGAAAGGCCUGCCGCUGUGCUUGGAGGAUGUUACCCAGAUUUUCUGCAUUUUGGAUAUGGACUUGGACAUAGACUUUUUUCAGUAUUAUAACUUUUUACAUUCUGCGUUUUUUGCCCGAUUGUUCUUAUUGUUCUUGCAUUUUUGUGUGCGGGAGUGAGGGAUUUGGGGGCUUUGAUGUGCCUGUUCUGAUUUUGAUCAUUUUUUUGUGUAGUGAGAAGGGAUUUAUGGGUUGAUGAUUGUGCUGUUAUUCUUUCUUGAUUUUGUGGCUAUCUGGAGAAGAAGAAUUUCAGAGUUGUAUACUUUGUUAAUAAAUGAACCUUGAAUCUUUGAUACACCAGCCUUGACAGAAUAGCAGAGCAGACUCAAUAGGCUGAAUGGCCUAAUUCUGCUCCUAUGCCUUACGGUCAUUUGGAAACUCAAAAUGUACUGAAGUAAUUUAACAUUGCUCUAUAGCUAGAGCUAAUUUUUGGUUCAUUUACUGACAAGCAUGCCUCUUACCCAGUAACAUGUUGAAUAUGGUUAAAAAAAAAUUCCUCCUUAACCAGUGUGCUGAUUCAAACCGUUCAAAGUAAUAGUUAGGAGCACGUGUGCAAUCUUUGACAGUGCUUUGAUGGAAAUGCUUUUCAAAAAUAAGUUUUUGUUCUGUAUUAUUUAUUCCACUAAUAUUUUGAAUUUUCUGAAGAAAUAGUUGUUCAGGUUACAAUGACCUAUGCCAACAGAUCAUUAUCACAUUUCUUAAUGCAUUUUAGAAAUGGCCUUCACAUGUUCCUGGGACCAUGUUUUUAAAUUUUACAUAAAACUAACAACUCUUGGUAUGCAAUAAACUGCAGUGGAAGAAUGUAGGAACAAAUUGAAAGAUGAUCUUUCGUUUUGCAACAUUGAAAAAUACCAUAUUCAUUUCAAAGCAUUGAUUAAAAGGGAGGGUUUUGACUUAGAGGUGCAACAGGAAACUUUGUAUGAGUACACAAGUAAGUUGUGAACUGCAAAUGAAAGACUGAAUAAUAUCAUGCUCUCUCAAUUGUACAUCAUGAUUAAGUCUUUCAGAAUUGUGUCAAGAAAUUUUAACAAGAAAUGUACUAGUCUGUUUAGUAUCUUUAUGAAUUGAACUCUGUUUUAUUUCUUUCUAUAGUUCAGACAUAGGAGGAAAUAAUCAUCAUAAUCUAAUACUAAAAUUUGGAUAAAAAUAUAAGGCUCAGACGCUAUGUAAUCUGUA